AUUGAACGCUGGCGGCAGGCCUAACACAUGCAAGUCGAGCGGAUGAAGAGAGCUUGCUCUCUGAUUUAGCGGCGGACGGGUGAGUAAUGCCUAGGAAUCUGCCUGGUAGUGGGGGAUAACGUUCCGAAAGGAACGCUAAUACCGCAUACGUCCUACGGGAGAAAGCAGGGGACCUUCGGGCCUUGCGCUAUCAGAUGAGCCUAGGUCGGAUUAGCUAGUUGGUGAGGUAAUGGCUCACCAAGGCGACGAUCCGUAACUGGUCUGAGAGGAUGAUCAGUCACACUGGAACUGAGACACGGUCCAGACUCCUACGGGAGGCAGCAGUGGGGAAUAUUGGACAAUGAGCGAAAGCCUGAUCCAGCCAUGCCGCGUGUGUGAAGAAGGUCUUCGGAUUGUAAAGCACUUUAAGUUGGGAGGAAGGGCAGUAAGUUAAUACCUUGCUGUUUUGACGUUACCGACAGAAUAAGCACCGGCUAACUUCGUGCCAGCAGCCGCCGCGGUAA
rnacentral:rRNA from 1 species